rnacentral:sRNA from 2 species
CGGACUCUCACGCUCACUCACACCCGUACCGGCAGGAGCGGGGGACCCACACGCUUCACGCCGUUCCCGGUCCUCCCGGGACGGCUCGGGGUGAAGUCACCGCGCGCACCGCGCCGGUGGCCGGGCAGCUCCAGCCCGAACCCGACAGCUCACCCCGCAGGCGACGGAGAAGGAAUCC